rnacentral:tRNA from 1 species
GUUAGGGUAGCAGAGCCCGGUGAUUGCAUAAAACUUAAACCUUUAUACUCAGAGGUUCAAAUCCUCUCCCUAACA